rnacentral:rRNA from 1 species
UACAGGGGGGUGCAAACGUUGCUCGGAAUCAUUGGGCGUAAAGAGCGUGUAGGCGGCCAGAUAAGUCCGCUGUGAAAUCUCGAGGCUCAACUUCGAGCUGUCGGUGGAAACUGUCUGGCUAGAGUCCGGAAGAGGAGAAUGGAAUUCCUGGUGUAGCGGUGAAAUGCGCAGAUAUCAGGAAGAACACCCGUGGCGAAGGCGGUUCUCUGGGACGGUACUGGACGCUGGAGACGCGAAAGCGUGGGGAGCGAACAGG